CUUCCACCCAUAGUCAGGAACCAGAUGAAGUAUAACAAAACUUCUUGUUCAGAUUCUAUAAAUUAAAGCUGUUUAGUCCCAUAACAGUCUCUGUCCACAUGGAACAAACACCGGAAGCAGCUUCUCCUUCCUCCUCCUGGUCUGUCAAGAUCUGAUGUCAUCUGCAUUUUGAUGAAAAGCAUUCAUAGUUCAGAGCCAACUUAUAUUGGCUCUGGAAAGUGUGAGG